UUUGUCCCUCUAGGGCUCCCGUCGGGCAGCUCUAUAUAAGCGGGAGGCGCGGGCCCAGGGGCCCCUUUUUCUCGGCUGGCUGCAGAGCGGCGCGAAAAUAUAUAAAGAGAUUGUGGCAUGGAAGGAGGCUUGAUCCUGAAAAUGAGACACAGGGGGGGCAAAUGUGAAUACUGCAAACGCAGGAGGUUUUUUCCUAGAGCUGAGAAGAAUCAAAAGAUCCCAUGGUCCAAGAAGUCUGCAUCCUAGAUGUGAGUUGCUCUUGAGGAGGACAGCACUAAUUUCCUUUGAAAUGGUAUAACAUAAAUGCUGUUGAAGGCAGACAGCAAUCCAAAUAUGGACUACACCUUUCUGGGGGACUCAUCCAUGGUUCUGACUUUCAGCCAUUGAAAAUACCAACCUUUUAAAGAAUAUGAUGGAAAAGCUAUAAGAGACAAACUUGGAGGAUUUUAAAAAAAAUUUGGAAGAGUUGAAAUAUUACUGAUGUAAUGAGAAACUUAGUAAACAGUCAAGAAGCACGUGUAUUAAGAAAGGUUAAAAAUGUGCAUUGUUGCAUAUUCUAAAUUAAACAUAAAACAUGACUUGAGACCCAGUUUAGCUUAUGCUGCCUUUACUUUUUCUUCUAGGGUUGUCUUAGAAUUCAUACUUACUAUAUAUGGCAAUAAUCUCUUCAUAAAUAUUGCUAUAAUUUGGUUUCUGCAUCAGGUUCGCUUAUCAGCGGCCAUGGGCUUUUACCUGCAGCUUGUGGCAAUGGUGUUAUUAUCUGAGAUGGGUUCUUGUAUCAAGUCUUAUUACUCAAUAUGCCCAGAAACUACUACAACUCGAUAAUAUUAGUGAAAUUAGUUGCCAAAGGAGAUGAAGUAAUUUGCAUAAUAGCCAAGUAAUAAAACCUUAGUCAAUAACUAAGGCGGGAUCCAAUCUGUUGGAGUGCAGCUGAGAAUGGUAAAUCCUUGAUUGCAAAUGGUUUUGAGGGAAAAAAUCCUUCCUUUGGUGCAGCUCAGUGGCAUCUUGGGUAAUGCUCUGUUGCUAUUGGAGACCCAGUUUGAAUACCAAGAGCCAAAAUCCAAGCUAGACUUCAUAAGGGUGUCUAAAUAGCUGCAUCUCCAUACUGAGCAGCCGUAGGAAGGUGUAAAUUAAAGAAAGUGAGAGUUGGAGCAGGUGCCGGACUGCUUAAUUUAGCCUUUGAUGUCCUUCUGUUAUUGAUCCUCCCUGUACAUACCUCUUGCAGCACCUCCGCAUAGAAAUUACACUAACAUAGAUUCUCAAUCUCAAGCCUACUUGCUGACGUAAUCAUGCAGUUUAGUUUUGGCUCUGACUGAUACGGGCUUGGACCUGCUGUGAGGUUAGCACACUUUUUAGUUUUGAGGUGGGAGGCAGAGAAAGCCUUGCAUUGCUCACCAGUAGCAUCUGCUCAUUGAGAUUGGCUAUUGAUGCUUCGUUCCUCUGCAGUUGGAAGGAAGGUGGCUACAAGUUGGCUUUACAGUGGUGAUUGGGGGGGAACAUGGGAACUGGCAGAGGACUCUGAGGGAGGCAGAAGACCCUCGCAGCAAAAAAGGAUUGGAAAAAAGCCGUAUGGCUUGCUAAACUCAAAUGAUUAGGUCUUUAACCUUUUUCCUGGGUGACCCAUAUCCUGAAGCUGAUGGUUCAGUGUCGCCCAAUAACCCUAUGCAAAAAUGGAAUCUCUUGCUGUGGACAAAUCACAAGGGGUACGUCUACACUUACGGGAGGGUCCGGCGGCAGGCAAUCGAUGUUCUGGGAUCGAUCCCGGAAGUGCUUGCCGUCGACGUCGGUACUCC